AGAGUUUGAUCCUGGCUCAGGACGAACGCUGGCGGCGUGCUUAACACAUGCAAGUCGAGCGAUGAAGUUUCUUCGGAAAUGGAUUAGCGGCGAACGGGUGAGGAACACGUGAAGAAUCUGCCCUCCACUUUGGGAUAACACCGGGAAACCGGUGCUAAUACCGAAUAUUGAAACAUAAGUGGCAUCACUGAGUUUUGAAAGAAUUUCGGUGGAGGAUGACUUCGCGGCCUAUCAGCUAGUUGGUGAGGUAAUGGCUCACCAAGGCAACGACGGGUAGCCGGCCUGAGAGGGCGACCGGCCACACUGGGACUGAGACACGGCCCAGACUCCUACGGGAGGCAGCAGUGGGGAAUAUUGGGCAAUGGAGGAAACUCUGACCCAGCGACGCCGCGUGCGGGAUGAAGGCCUUCGGGUUGUAAACCGCUUUCAGUAGGGAAGAAGCGAAAGUGACGGUACCUACAAAAGAAGCACCGGCUAACUAUGUGCCAGCAGCCGCGGUAAUACAUAGGGUGCAAGCGUUGUCCGGAAUUAUUGGGCGUAAAGAGCUCGUAGGUCGUUUGUUACGUCGGAUGUGAAAACCUGAGGCUCAACCUCAGGCCUGCAUUCGAUACGGGCAAACUAGAGUUUGGUAGGGGAGACUGGAAUUCCUGGUGUAGCGGUGGAAUGCGCAGAUAUCAGGAGGAACACCAAUGGCGAAGGCAGGUCUCUGGGCCAAUACUGACACUGAGGAGCGAAAGUCUGGGGAGCGAACAGGAUUAGAUACCCUGGUAGUCCAGACCGUAAACGGUGGGCACUAGUUGUGGGAACCUUCCA
rnacentral:rRNA from 1 species